GGCAAUUGGAGGUAAUGGGGCAGAAGGUAGGUGCCUCCCUGGAGAAGCUCCAGGCUGGAGACAUUCCUGGGACAUGGUGCUGGUCUGGACUUUCUAGAUUCUGACAAUGGUGAGAGGAGCAAUUCAAAGUUGUAGGUGGAACCUGUAUUUGCUUUAGCUAAAAAAUGACAAAUGAGCUUCUGUUGCAAGAAGAAGGUCAAGGGCUAAUUCCUUUGGGUUUUGUUGCAGCUUCUGCUACUGCUAUUAUAAUUUGUUCUACUUUAUUCUUGAAAACCCAUGGGUAGGACAAUUUUUUUUGGAGAAAUCUUUGGAAGAGCUGGUGACAGGCAGGGCUGAGUUCCUGGUGUAGGCAGCACUCACUCCCUGGAGAACCCCCCACACACACACACACACUUUGUUAAUAUUUUUUUCUUUAGUUGAAGAUGGACACAGUACAUUUACUUUAUUUAUUUUUAAAUGUGUGUAUGGUGCUGAGGAUCAAACCCAGUGCCUCACGCCUGAAGGUCAAGCACUUUACCCCUGAGCUACAACCCCAACCCUGGAGGCCCCUUUUGAUGCUUUUUCUCACACUGCAUGAGGACUGGCACAUUGAUAGGACAGUGCCCUGCUAAGGCCCUAUUGAUUGCUGUCAUUGGUCCCCCCGUACAGAAGAGACUUCAGGCUCCAAAGACACCAUGAAUGCCUGAGACCAUACUUGCCGGAGGUUCUGUGGGAGAGGAUGAAAUUGCGGAGAGCUAAACCCAUGAGUUGGACAUGGAUCUAGCUCUGGGACAAGCUCCAAGACAGUUGGCAUGUCUACUGUCUUGGCACUAGAGCCAAUGAUGAAGAGUGACAAGGACGAUACUUUUGUCCUAACUCUGACCAAGACCCUCUCUGACUUUCAUUGUGGCAACUCCAUCAUCUGAUGAACUUCUGCCUUCUCCAGUUGUGUCCAAAUAGUACAAGAGAGAGGCGUGGAACAAUUGGUCCCCAGGCUGAUUUCUGAAACAUUCCCUCAGCUCUCUCCCCCCACCCCAGUUCAGGACAGAACUGUGAUUGCUCAACUCUUGCCUCUGUUCUCGUCCAUGAAUGCUGUCCCUUUUGCAGAGCACUUCUCUCCCCCAGAAGUCCUUUGCUCUAGCACAUAGUGAGCUCAGAGCUGCACUAGCCCAGGCCAAGCAGAAAGGCUCAUGAGUUUGACUUCUGUGCCCAGUGUGCACUCAUGGAACAAAGACGGAACACAAGGCAGUCCAGCAGGUGUGAGGCACCAUGUAAAUGCCAGAGAGCAUGCCCCUGCACCCAUUAUUGCCUCUAAGGCACUUUGCUUUGCUUUUCACAGAAAUCAGGUCAUUUGCGACCAAUUUGAAUAUAGAUGGAUGGAGAAUGGGAUCAGUAAGAUAUCUAUGUAACUAUGAGAGAGAAACAGAAAUGACUCACAAAAUCACAGGACCAGUAGUGCCACUCUAAGCUAAUGUUCUCUGCUCUUAGAGGCCUUCACUUAUGACAUGACACCUGAGUCCAAUUCAUGGCUUAAAAUAAGUUUGGUCUAUUUCUACUAUACUAGGGAAUCCAUCUUUAAAUUAUUUUGUUAGUCCAAUCAAGAUAUAUAAGUGGGACAAGAUGGAUCAUGGCCC
rnacentral:lncRNA from 1 species